CAGUCGCCACGGGAAUACGUAGGGUGCAAGCGUUAAUCGGAAUUACUGGGCGUAAAGCGUGCGCAGGCGGUUUGUUAAGACAGAUGUGAAAUCCCCGGGCUCAACCUGGGAACUGCAUUUGUGACUGGCAAGCUAGAGUAUGGCAGAGGGGGGUGGAAUUCCGCGUGUAGCAGUGAAAUGCGUAGAUAUGCGGAGGAACACCGAUGGCGAAGGCAGCCCCCUGGGCCAAUACUGACGCUCAUGCACGAAAGCGUGGGGAGCAAACAGGAUUAGAUACCCCGGUAGUCCCUGUCUCUUAUAC
rnacentral:rRNA from 1 species